GUCGUCGGGUGAGUGGCGCCAGGGAGGCUCUCGGGGCGGCGGGGGUUGAAGAAGGCAGUUGUGAAACGUCGGUUAAACAGGAGCUUGGCGCCCUUUGCCUUGAUUUCCACGGAUUACAACCUUGGAUUAGUCAGGUCUUCAGUUCAGUUUUCUUAGGUCUGGAAAGCCUUCUGAGCAAUCUUGAUUCAUGGUGACAGGAUCAGAAAGAGGGAGAUAAGAGUAGAGAUGCUGUGCUCUUGACUAAAACACCUUUUAAAAAGGCUUCCCUGGCACUUCUGCCGGCAGCAUGAGAGGAAACCAGAGUGAGCUUCUUAGCCAUCAGCCAAAGCAUGUGGAACUCGGUUGUAAAGAGAAGAAGAUCCUUAUGCUUAAAGUUGCAUUCCUCUCUUGCAUUGAUGGACCAAUUGGAGGAUAAGAUAGAGUGUCACAUGAGACUUAUCAGCUGGAACUGAAAUAGACUGAGCCAUACAGCUCCAAAUACGUAUGAAAAAGUACCUGUGGGUCUUGCCACUUCAGAAUCAGUGGUCUAUCCAUCUCAUCCAGGCCAUUUUGUGCUACUCAGUCGAAAGGUCCAUUCUUGGCCUUUUUUUCUGCACCCUUUGUCCUGAACUUGGGUUUUCAGAGAAACCAAAAAGGAAGCUGAAUUUCCACCAGAGAGAUGGCAUUGUAUGGGAUAGCCUGUAGAAAUGUGCCUGUGUCAAGUUAUCUGCUUGCUUAAAUGUCUCAUCAUUCCCCUUUUGUGGCCUUGUGCAGCCCUGUGAUGUAUGAAGAAGAUGCACCAAAAACUGAUGAACUGGGCAUAUCAACACCAACUGACUACUGUAAAGAUCUGAAAGAUCUAUAUCUCAUGGAGCAAGGGACAUGAUUUGCAUCUCUCUGCAUCCUUUUACAUUCUCUUGCACUCCCACAAGUGUAUAAAUAUGCUUUAUAACCUGAGGUUUUAAUAUUGCUCUGUACUGCAUCUGCAGCUCAUGCUAAAAUAAAAACCAGCUAGUCUUAAAGUUGCUACUGCAUUCUGUUUAUUCUUCCCCUUCUUUACUCUUAUAGGCAUUAGCUGUCAGGAGAUUUUCGCAUGGCUCCCCCCCCCCCCCAAUCUAGGCAUGGGCUGAGAUUGUAUAAAUGGAUGUUAUCACACAGCUCUGUGCCCAGACUGAAAGCAACCUGUACCCAAUCAGGACCUCUCCUGUACUUAGCAAUGAACGAAAAAGAACAAUUUUGCUAAGUACAGGAGAAGUCCUGAUUGGGUAUGGGAUGCCUCCGAUCUGGGCACAGACCUUUGUGACAGUCUCAGCCCAUGAUGGGGAGAAAACAGCUGGUGUGAUAAUCUCAAGGUUUACAAGUUUGACUGCAAAGUCAUUGUUGAGCCAACCAGCAGAGGGUGAUGUACCAUAAUGUUUCCUCCAUAACUGUCCAUGAAGAAAUUGUAAAAUAGAAGAGCAAACGCCUUGUCUUCUAAUCUGCACCUGGAGGCUUCUAGCAAACCUUGUUAAUAAUUCCAUUUCCAUGUUACAUUAUGUUCUCUCUCUGUUUUUAUGCAUGUGCCUUCUUGUCAUCUAUUGACUUCCAGCAACUACAGAAAUGGGUAUGAAAUCCCAGCACUAAGGUACUACAGGGGAAAGGGGAGGUAUAGACAUAAAGUAGGGGGUGGGCUGCAUUAAAGUAGUCACAGCUGUUUAUACAAAUCUCUAACUUUUGGCACUCUAAAUACAGUAUAUGAAACCAAAUUCUUUCUGAUGUAUGUUGGCAUCAUAACUUACAUUCACACCAGUAUAAAAUUAUUGUACAUGUGUACAAGUUUUAAAACCAUCUAAUAGCUGGAAAAAGCAGUGAAAACUUUAUAAAUCAAGAGUCAUGAUAGAACAUCCAAGCAGGAAAUUUGAUAUAUAGUGGGACCUUGGUAUCAGGGUUUGGUUCCAGGACCUUCUGUGGAUACUAAAAAUUAUAGAUGCUCAAGUCCUAUUAGAUAUAUAGUAAGGCAUAGUAAAAUGGUUCCCUUAUAUAAAAUGGUAAAAUCGAGGUUUGUUUUUCAGAGAUUAUAUAUUUGUGGGUGUGUUUAGUUUCUUUGAGACAUGGCUGGUUGAAUCUGUGGAUAUAGAAUCCAUGGAUAUGGAGGGCUGACUAUUGAAGCAGCUUUGUUAUUUCCUUCCACUGAAAUACAGCCUACACUACUUCAUAUUCAUUGGCUGUUUCCCAUCCAAGUAUUAAUCGGGGCUGACCCUACUUAGUUUCCAAGAUCAACAGGAUCUGGUGCCUUUAGGGCAUUUCAGCUCUUCUUAUUUGCUUUUCUCUCCAGAAGCACAUCUCCUUAUGAAGCCUGCCUGUUCUUUUACCUCCCACAGCUGUGUAAUCUCUGGGACAGAGCAGCUAUCCCUAUUUUGGAUUGUAGGGUUGAAAAUGCUCCCAUGCUUAAUGAUACUUGUGUUGCUGUUUUAUUUGUUCAUGUAUUUAAUGAAUUAAUCUGCCAGCUCUCUUAAGAGUGGUGUACCUAUUCCAGGGCCCCAGCUACUUUAAUUUAGCCUUGCAGAGGGCACAAACCUGUGACAUUGUUUUUGAGGCAAAAACAGACAGAUCUCACCUAAACAUUAGGAUGAACCUCUUGACUUGUUAAACAGGAUGAAUCCACUUGCCAGCUAGGAUGGUGUUUCUUUGAGGGGAGGAUGUGAUAACUGCCAUCUUUUCAGUUGUAUUUGCAGUUUGGUACAGUUUUGGGGUAGAAAAUUGCCCAAAUUUUAGGAAGAAUGUAUUGACCAUAAGAGUUGCUUGAGAGUGGAGAAGGCUGCCUCAGAGGGUGAUGGUCUCAUCUUUGCAAGUCUCUAAACAGAAGCUGGAUGUCCAUCUGUCCAGAGUGCUUUAGGUAUGCAUGGCAGCAGGUUGGAUUGGAUGGCUCUUCCAAAUCUUUUUGAGUUUCUAUGAGUCUAUGAAAUGGGCCACCAAACUUUGAAAAAAGAAACAAGUAGGGCAUCUUAGACAGCAAAAGGGAGGCGGACUCAAGAAGGGCAGGAUGCAACCCAUCGACCACAAUUGCCCUCCACAGUAGAAGCCCUCCUUUGACAGGUCUUUUCUCCAAUUUCCCACCAUAGCUGGUAAGAGCAGAAGGCCCAAAGAAAUCCUAGGCAGAUAGUUAGUCUGCCCUGCUGAAUCCGGCACUCCCAGCUGUCUCUCCUGGAGCCAUCUUGCUGUGCCCUUUUCUCAGAAAAAGGUAAAGGAGGAAUAAGGCAAUUCAGACUUUGUUCAGCAAAAGCCCAAUCCAGAGACCAAUGGGGUUGGAGUUAUGUAAUUCUGCACCUGCUGGGAGAAGAUAGAUCAGGUACUGUUGGUCAUUAUCCACAGUUAAAGAUCUUUUUCUUCUUCUUCUAGGAAACUGUUUUUAUUAACAUCCAUCCCGCCCUCUUUCUUUUCUCCUGGAACUUUAACCUGGAGAGUUUGAUCUUUGCACCAACUCCCAGUGUCUUGAAAUGGACAUCUCUAAUGCAUUGCCAUUUGCCAGAGUGAAGACCCCAAAGGGCUCCUGCACAUUUAAUGGUAACAAGCAACUCUUGGAAGAUUUUUGCAUUUUGAAGUCGAAGGCUUUAAUGGCCGGCAUCCAUAGUUUUUUGGGGAUUUUCAGGCUA